UCCUCCCAGAUGAAAGGUACCAGCAAAAAAGCUCUUGCUGCCCAUGGAGUGCCGAGGCUGACCCACCAAGUGCACCAGAAAACCAAAGCUUCCAGGCUUUCUUUCCUGUGAAGAAACUGUUUCUUUUGGUUUUUUGAGGCCUGCACUGAAACUGCCAGUUCGAGUCCCAGAAGUCCACCCAGCUGAAGAUUCCUCCCAGACCAAAGGUGCCACACCAGAAAUCUCCUGCUGGCCAUGGAGUUCCCAGGCUGGCCCGCCAAGUGCACCAGAAAGCCAAAGCUUCCAGGCUUUCUGUCCUGCCAAUAAGUAGGGUUUUUUUGUUUUUUUGAGCCCUGCACUGAAACUGCCAGUUCCAGUCCCAGAAGUCCACCCAGAUGAAGAUUCCUCCCAGACCAAAGGUGCCAC